CAAAACGGAGGAAGGUGGGGAUGACGUCAAAUCAUCAUGCCCCUUAUGACCUGGGCUACACACGUACUACAAUGGUCGUUAACAGAGGGAAGCAAGGCCGCGAGGUGGAGCGAACCCCUAAAAACGAUCUCAGUUCAGAUUGCAGGCUGAAACCCGCCUGCAUGAAGAUGGAAUUGCUAGUAAUCGCGGAUCAGCAUGCCGCGGUGAAUACGUUCCCGGGCCUUGUACACACCGCCCGUCACACCAUGAGAGCCGGGGACACCUGAAGUCGGUUGGGUAACCGUAAGGAGCCCGCCGCCGAAGGUGGAAUCGGUAAUUGGGGUGAAGUCGUAACAAGGUAACCAAGCC
rnacentral:rRNA from 1 species